AUUACCCUAUAACUGAAAAUGGUUUCAGGAGCAUAACUUAAGUUCUAUUUGGCCAACAGUUUUCAAACUUCAUAGGAUGAUUGUCCAUAUUGGGUAGAAGACCCCUAUUGAUUUUGGGGUCACAAGGUCAAGGUCACUAUUAGCUUAAUACUGAAAAUGGUUUCCGGAGCAUAACUUAAGUUCCAUUUGGCCCAAAGUUUUCAAACUUCAUAGGAUGAUUGUCUAUAUUGGGUAGAAGAUCCCUAUUGAUUUUGGGGUCACAAGGUCAAGGU